rnacentral:rRNA from 1 species
UACGUAGGGUGCGAGCGUUAAUCGGAAUUACUGGGCGUAAAGUGUGCGCAGGCGGCCGAGCAAGUCGAGUGUGAAAGCCCCGAGCUUAACUUGGGAACUGCGCUCGAAACUACUUGGCUAGAGUGUGGCAGAGGGAGGUGGAAUUCCACGUGUAGCGGUGAAAUGCGUAGAGAUGUGGAGGAACACCGAUGGCGAAGGCAGCCUCCUGGGCCAACACUGGCGCUCAUGCACGAAAGCGUGGGGAGCAAACAGG